CAGGCCUAACACAUGCAAGUCGAACGAGAUCUUCGGAUCUAGUGGCGGACGGGUGCGUAACACGUGGGAAUCUGCCUUUAGGUAAGGAAUAACUCAGGGAAACUUGAGCUAACACCUUAUAAUGUCUUCGGACCAAAUAUUUAUAGCCUAAAGAUGAGCCCGCGGUAGAUUAGCUAGUUGGUGGGGUAAUGGCCUACCAAGGCAACGAUCUAUAGCUGGUCUUAGAGGAUGAUCAGCCACACUGGGACUGAGACACGGCCCAGACUCCUACGGGAGGCAGCAGUGGGGAAUAUUGGACAAUGGGGGGAACCCUGAUCCAGCCAUGCCGCGUGUGUGAAGAAGGCCUUAUGGUUGUAAAGCACUUUAAGCGAGGAGGAGGCUCUUCUAGUUAAUACCUAGGAUGAGUGGACGUUACUCGCAGAAUAAGCACCGGCUAACUCUGUGCCAGCAGCCGCGGUAAU
rnacentral:rRNA from 1 species